rnacentral:lncRNA from 1 species
UGAAGUUGAAGGUUGAUGAGAAGAAUGCCUUAUUUUUCUUUUAAGAUUACUAGCAUUGUUCUGAACUUGGGUAGGUAAUUUAAUAGAAGCUACAAUGUCAUCCCUUUUUCAGAGUCAGUUGGAAUAUCUAUGAUUAUGGUAUUAGACUUUUCCAUAAUUGUUACUUAGCUAUACAAACAGAGAAAAACAGAGAAUUUUUUUUUAUAUAUAUAAUUCAAGAAAAUCAAGCAUUAAUAAUUUAAUAAUUUACUAGAAUAGUUAAAAAAUUAAAAUGGAGAAAAAGGAUAUCUUACCGAUAAUAAAAAUCUGGUAAAUCACUGAUUCUGUAGAUCUGUUUGAUGAUCACCUCUUUAGAUUUCUUCUUUUUCUUUUUCAAUGGAAUAAAAAGGAUAAUUGUAGUAAUUGUUUCUUCUUCCAUUUGUUUCUCUGUAAAUCAGGGAAAGCUCUCUUCAGUCCUCACAGAAACCCUAAAGACAGCCGCGUUGAGAUCAUUUUCAGGUUAAAUAUCAAAGUUAUGGGCCUGACUGACUAAUAUUACCCUUUUUUUCUAAGGCUAUCAAUAGACCAAAGCCCAAUGUCUGAGCUUUGGAGGGGAUUGUCAUCUUCAUGACCAUAUUCUUGGAGUGCGAAUUUGUUCCACACUCUUUAAGAGUGCGGAAGAGUGCGGAACAAUACUCUCCCCCGGAUCUUGCCACGUGGCUAUAUUAAAAAAUAAAAAUUUUGAUUUUUUUUUUUUUUUUUUUUUAAUAUUAAGUAAGUUUAAUUAAAAAACUAAAACACUAAGAUGGUGUUGUUAACCCUAGUGGGACCAGCUAAAUUAAAAAAAAAAAAAGUUGUAGUACGUGGCAAGAUCUGGUGGAGUGUUGUAAAGAGUGUGGAACAAAUUCAAAUUCAUAUUCUUGAGUCUUAUUUCUACUCCAUGAAAGAAAAUUUAAUUAUAGCUGAAAAAUGAUACAACCGUGAUCAGCAUGCCAGAUGCAUUGUCGUAAGGUUGGAUCAGAAAUAUAGUUGCACUCUCAUGAGACCCUUACAAGACGUCAAGACUUGGGGAUUACAUAACAGCAGUCAGCAAUUAAGGAUUAUAGAUUAUCUCAUUCCCACCUCCUAUCCUAGGUGUUCUUGGCUUGAAACAUAUGCAGAGCACGAGACAAGUGCAGAACAAAUGACAGAUUUAUUUCAUUCUACUAUUGAUUCGAGUCCCUCUGUGUUCCUAGGAUAUGGCCACUUAAAUGACAAGUUAACAACACAGACAGCUUGUUAUACAAGUGCACAAUCUGAUCGAAGAUAUUUUUCAGCUUAAGUCACAAAUUUCACAUGCUAGGUUUCUAUGGACAUAUAGGGAGAGCAAUGGUGCUGCAGACAUGUUAGCAAAGGAUGCUACAGUUCAUGGUCAAGGAAUUUUCCAUGGUCGUCCUUUCAUCCCCUAUCAAGUUGAUCCCCAACCACUUCUACAGCCGCUUCGCUCACCUUGGACUUCUAUCUGGUGGCAAACACCUCCUACUUUUUUAUCUAGUUUUUUACUUGCAGAUGUACAAGGCUUGUAUGUAACUCGCAAUAUAAAUAUAUAAAUAAUAAAUGCAAUAUCUUUACCAACAACAAAAAAAAAAAAAAACACAGACAGCAUUUACCAUUGACUUGGGUCCCUCUGUGUAUAAGAUUAAAAGCCUUUGUAAGUGUUAUUCACUUAAUUAUUCCUAACUGAGAGUGACACAUGAAUAGCUUACAUUGGAAUUCUUUUGUAUACUUAUUUUUCUUGUCGCCUAAAAGUUUUUAUUAAAAGAUGAAAUAAAAAAAAUUACAACAUUCUGAAGUGAUUACAAUAUUUUGUAUCCCAGGAGUAUUAAGUCAGAACCUAUACCAAUGUUUGCCCCACCAAUGUUUUCCUCUUACGUACUAACAAGAAAAUUGGAUACAUGAAAAGUAUUCAUCAGUAAGGAGAGAGAGGAAAUUAAUUAAUUAAAAAAAAAUUCAGUAAGGAGAAUGUUGGAAUUUCCAUAUAUAAAGCCCACCCAUAAUGUGGUCCAUGUACUUUUAACUUUGGUUUAAUAUAGAAAUAAGCUAAUUAGUAAUAGGUUAUGUGGAAGUCAUAUCUACCGUAGAUCUUAACUAUGAUGGACGGUCUAGAUCUAAUGGGCUUAGGUUUGUAGAUUUAGGUCCUCUCUCCACCUCUAUAAAUUGGUGUAUGAUCUCCAUCCUCAUACACUUGCUAUUACAACACAUAUUAGGGUUUAAGAGGCAAGGAGAGUGAAACCUAGAUCUUGUGCAGCUUCUCGGAUCAUCAAUGGCUAUAGACAAGGUAUGUGUAUUUGUUAGUGAUUAAUUACGUGAUUCAUGAUCCUUAUUGUUUAUUGAUAAUAUUAAUUAUGCUUAUAUGUGGUAUCAGUCGCCUAGUAUGAAUCAUGUUUUUAAUUCUAACAUUACCGUAAAAGCAAAUACUGUUUAUUACGAUUCCGCAUAAAAGAAAAACAAAAUUUUUAUUUUAUUUUUAUGGUGGGUGAUCCGUAUGAUUAAGAUCUUAAACAUGUGUAUUCCUCGUGAUUAAAUCUGGUGUAUCUCUUUCAUUAGAAAUAACAUCAUGACAAGUGUAAGUAUGUUGUUUAUAUUGAUUUGGAAUUUCUGCCACACGUUGCAUGUUUAGUUGCUGGCACGUGGUUGUAAUGGAUAUGCUGAUUCUUCAUUAAUGUUCACAAGCAUAAUUAAAUUCCUCAACAGAUCAUAACAUAGUUUAGUUUAUACAAUUUAUUUUAAUCUGCAUGGCUGCUCUUUUCUCUUAAAACAUUAAUUAAUAGUAAUGUUUAAUGGUAGUCAUGUUAUUGCUAUUAGACAAAUUAAUUUAGAAUGUGCAGAUCAUGGACUCAAUUGAGUCAUCCCGUUGUGUUAACCUUGUACACUUUCCCGUUUUUUUUUUUUUUUUGUUAAUUUAUUUGGUAUAACACCUUGAAAGAAGAUGAUGUUAAUCUUUUUUUUGGUUAACAAGAAGAUGAUGUUAAUCAAUUAGUGGGCCUUAGUGCUUAGCCCAACAUGAAUGUAUUUAAAGUUAGCUUAUCCCAUGCAAAUUAUAUUGAAGAGACUUGGUUUUAUCAUGGGUCUUAUCAUCGACCUUAUCGUUUCUGCUGUAGUUUUGUUUUUUUUUUGCCCGACCCAUAUGUUGUUCGUGUAUCAUCUUAAUUCUAUCGUGACUAUGUUACCACUGAUGUUUGUGUCCUAUUACUGUUUUAAUUUGCACAUGUAAUUCUGUUACCAUUGAUAUGGUUUAGGAUUGAGGGUUCAUCUAUCAAAGUUUUUUUUUUUCAGGUUUUAUAAUUACAAAAUUCAUUGGGCCUUAUUGCAGUCCAGAUUAACUGUUUUGGGUCAUAAGUUGAACUAAUUAAUGUGCUAGUUGUUCUUAGUUGCCAGAAUCCAACCUAUUAAUGUGAUGUAAUUUUAUUGAGCUAACUGCUCCAUGCUUUAUAUUCUUUGUAUCCAUGAUAUGUAUAUAUUUUCUUGUUCAAAAUUCAUGUUAAAGUUCAUUGGUAUUCACCACAGUGAAUCCAAGUAUGUUUAUGAAUAUUGAUUUUUAUGAAUAUACCAUAAUGUAAAACUCAACCAAUUAUUGAUUGGACUUAAAGCCUUGUCUAUUAUUUGGUAGUUUUGGUAUUUUCAUUUACUGUUUGCACACGAUUUUCAUAAUGAUAACGGGAUCAUCUUUGGGCCUAAUAGUUAUAGUCUAUAAUUAAUGUGUUUGGAUCUUACUGUUAGACAUUUUGUGCUAGUUUAUAUUGUGAUGUAUUUUACUUUCAUGCCUCUGUCCUAUAUUAGUCACAUAUGUACAGUAGGUUAAUGUUAGUUGCUUCCAUGUCUAAUUCAGACUUGUAUGCCUUAUGAUAAUUCUUGGUUUUCACCCAUAUUAUGCAUGUGCCCUAGUUGAAUUUAUUAAAUUGUGCACUUCUUAUGAUUAAGAUGCAUUAUAAUAUUUUAAUCUUGUAGCAUUUAUUCAGCUACAUGUUUAUUCCCUUAAGGUUCAUGUCAUCAUGAUUUGGUAUCACCACAGUGAACCAACUAAGAUUAUGAACAUUGGUUUUCGUUUUAUAUUCAUAUCAAGUUUUUUAUUGGUAUCCACCACAGUGAUUCCAAUAUGUUUAAUGAAUAUUAAAAUUUUCUUGAACAUUCAUAUUAUGAUUUGGUUUUCACCACAGUGAACUAAAUAUUGUGUUGAAUGUUCGACUAAGUACCUUAUUGCCUAUCUAUUCACUUGCAUUAUUGAGUUACCAACAGGUAGAUCAAGCAUAUGUUACAUUGAAUAAAAUUAAGGGGUUGCACGUAUUUGUGAUUAAAUGAGUGUAGGAUAUCCACAGAUACCAUGCUUAUUUUGAUCAUGUGAUAUGUCACCCAUUUAUAGUAUUACUAAAAAUCUUAAUCAUAUUGUUUAAUUAAUGUGUUGACUAAUAUAUGUUGUGAGCAUGUUUAUUUUUCUCGUUCUAUUAUUCUUGUAUUUCGUAUAUUUUGUAUGUUUUAUCCUUAAUAAAACUAAUGAACUAGAAUGAAUAAGUCUAGUUGAUUUUAGUGGGAGUUCUAGAUCUUGGCAUAUAUUUCCUUAUUGUUGAAUCUACUGUUAUUUUAUAAAAGCAGUAAAAAGGAGAAAAUUAUGCAUUAUGCAUGAACUAGAUUGAACAUGCAAAUUAAACUCAAUGUUUAUGUGAAUAAUUGUUGAUGGAUAAUAUUAAGAAUCAUUUUCGCACUGCUAGCUGAAAAGUUAAUUGUUGAACUGAUUAUUAUUGAUAGUACUCAUAGUAUGCAUGACUAUGUCCUUGAGUUUUCCAAUUUAGUUGUUAAAUUAAAGAAUUUAGACAUGUUAGUGGAUGAUUACUUUGUCCUCCAAUUUGUUCUAAAUUUCUUGCCUACAUAGUAUGUUCAGUUUCACUAUUACACUAUUAAAGACAAGUGGAAUGUGAGUUAAAUGGCGAGACUACUAGUUCAAGUAUAGGCAAGGCUUAAACAACAUUAUAAUCAUGUCACUCAAGCUUAAUUCAUGUUUCAAGGAGUUGAAUGAAUAAUUCUCUAAUUGUGUUUGGAUAUACACUAUGUGUGUGCCAAUGCCAUUUAUGUGAAUAUGGCGUUUGUUUGAUAUAAAAGAUAAUUAAGCUUUUGGUUUUAGUAUCUUUCGAUCAAACUCAAUUGGCAUUUCUAAUACGUAGUGAAUUGAUUAUGAUUAAGAAUUAUCUUUCUUGUGGCAUAAAAGACUGAAUCAUACAUCUAGAUGAAAAGUAGACUAGUAAAAGAAGAGGUUUUCCCGAACCUUGACUUUACUAAUUUUGGUGUAUGUGGAUUGCAUUAAGUUAAGUAAACCAAACACACAAAGAAGAGUCAUAAAAAGUAUGAAGCUUCUUGAAAAAUUUCAAACAGACAUAUGUGUAUUUUUGAUGUUCUAUCUUUUGGUGGAGAAGAGUAUUUCAUUACUUUUAUUGAUGAUUUUCUCAUUAUUGUAUCUAUGUGUUGCAUAAUAAGUCUCAUAUGUAAAUGUUAUUGAAAUUUACAUAACUGAAGUUAAGAGAUAAUUAGAUAGAAAGGUGAAAACUAUACGUUUUUUUUUAUAGAGGUGGUGAAUUCCUUGGAAGGUAUGAUGACGCGGGACAACAUCCCGGUCUUUUUACCAAACUUCUAGAACGGUUAGAAAAUUGUGCCUAGUACACAAUGCCUGGUUCUCCAUUGCAGAAUGGUGUAGCUGAAAGGCAUAAUCGAACCUUUAUGGAUAUGGUUCGAAGUAUGAUGUGUAGUUCUAAAUUACCCAUAUAGUUGUGGAUUUAUGUUUUAUGAACCGUAGUGUAUAUAUUGAAUUGGGUUCCUAGUAAGGCAGUUACAAAAAAAAAAAAAAAAAAAAAACACAUUUUGAAUUGUGAAAAAGAUGGAAACCUAGUUUAAGACAUUUACACAUUUAGGGUUUAUCUAGAAAAGUUCAAAGGGUAUAGAUUUUACUAUCCUAACCAUACCACUAGAAUUAUUGAAACUGGAAAUUAUUGAUCCUUAUGAAUGGCAAAAUCAGUGGGAGUGAUCAUAUCAAAGAGGUAAUCAUUAAAGAAGUUAGGGUACCAAUUUUGUUACCUCGAUUUUUUUGUAAUGAUAUUAUUGUUACUUCUGUUGUUCCUCAUGUUGUUGCACCGCUUAACAACAAUAAACAACAAGUUGAUCCUCAACCACUUAAUGAAAUUAAUGCCAUUGAACUGAACGUAAACGCACACAAAAAGUAGCAUUAAAAAGAUCUUAAAGAUCACGACCAGCUAUUUCGGAUGACCACAUGUUGUAUUUACAAGAAUUUGAUUUUAAUGAUCCAGUUACAUUUUCACAAGCCAUUACUUAUAGUAAUUCUGAUAAAAAGAUUUAUGCCAUGAAUGAAGAGAUAACUUAAGUGUGGAUUUUAACUAAGUCUGAGGUUAAUAGAAUUGACUCAAAAAGUUCUAUUGAAUGCCAUAAAGUAAGACUUGUAUCCAAACAAUUUACUCAAUAUGGUGGCAUUACUUUCUCGUGAAACCUUCACUUAUGUGGUAAAGAAGGAUUAUCUUAGAAUCAUUAUGGCAUUGGUGACUCAUUUCGAUUUAGAGUUACACCAAAUAAAUGUGAAAAUGAUAUUUUGAAUGAAAGUUUGGAUAAAGUCUACAUGGUUUAAUUAGCCACACAACUUUAUAAAGGAAGGACAAGAACACAUAAUCUAUUUGUUAAAGAAGUCAAUAUACAGACUUAAAACAAUAUUCUCUAAAAUGGUACCUAAUGAUUAAUCGUAUCAUUAUUAAAGAAGGGUUUAAUGUACAUACCCAAAGUUCAGUGGGAGUAAGUUUAUUAUUUUGAUUAUGUAUGUUGAUGAUUUAUUGUUUCGCAGCAGUGAUUUUUGUUUAUGUAAACAUUUUUUAUCUGUCUGAUUGUUUUGCAAUGAAAGUUAUGGUGAUGCGUCAUAUGUGAUAGAAAUAAAAGAAAAUAUUUCGGGAUUGAUCACAAUAAUUGUUAGAAUGUCUCAGAAAGAUUUCAUUAACAAAGUUUUGGACAAAUUUAAUGUGUUAAGACGUAAUUAUAAUGAUGUUCCAAUUCAGAGGGGGAAUAUUUGAAUUAAAUCAAGAUCUUACGAAUGAAUUGGAACAAGAACGAAUAAAAGAAAAACCUUAUGCUCACAUUUUAAGAGAUCUAAUCAUCUUGAGGUGAUUGUUUUUACAAAUUCGAAAUUUAAUGGGUGUGGGGAUAUAUAGUCGGUAAAACAUUAUUGUUUCACCCACCAUAUAAGCCGAAUUUGUAGCAUGUUGUAAAGCUACAUGCAAUGUUGUAUAGUUACAAAACUUUAUAUCAUAACUUAGAGUUAUUGAUUUCUAAAUCGUUUGAAUUUUAUUGUAAUAAUGUUGCAACUAUAUGCCUUUGUAAGAAUGAUAGGUAUUCUAAUGUUUAGCACAUGAUAUAAAAUACCUAUUGAUUAUGGCUUAAGUUUAGAACAAGUGAGUGUCAAUGGAACACAUUAGUACACAAGUUAGUAAAUCCACUAACUUAAGAGCUAGAAAUAAUAAUAUUCUAGCAUCAUGAUUAACAGGUUGGGUGAAUGUAACCUAUAACUUAUUGAUUUUGUGGAUUACUUAGUGCUUAUUAUUUGACAUUAUUUUGAGCUCAUAUUAUUGAUUAAGUUCUGAAUUUUCUGUUUUCCAUUGUUUAUGUACAUGUAUGAGAAUGGAUAAUUGUUAACAGAAAUAGUUUUUUUUUGAAGACAUUACUGGACCAUUAUUGUUACUUUCGCUUAUAGACCUAGUUAAUUAAAUUGUUGAUAUCGUAGUACAUGGAAGGAACCAUGUCAUUUAUGCGAUCUGGAACCGCCAUGACUCAUAUUAAUGGUUUAAUUAAUGACGGUAUUAUGAUAACCAUUUUGAAAACUAAUUUAGCUCUUAUUGCGCGCCUUAUGUAUUCUACAUUAAACCGUAUGUGAGAUUUUACUAUGGACCAAGUGGGAGACUGUUGGAAUUUCCAUAUAUAAAGCCCAACCCAUAAUGUGGUCCAUGUACUUUUAACCUUGGUUUAAUAUAGAAAUAAGCUAAUUAGUAAUAGGUUAUGUGGAAGUCAUAUCUACCGUAGAUCUUAACUAUGAUGGACGGUCUAGAUCUAAUGGGCUUAGGUUUGUAGAUUUAGGUCCUCUCUCCACCUCUAUAAAUUGGUGUAUGAUCUCCAUCCUCAUACACUUGCUAUUACAACACAUAUUAGGGUUUAAGAGGCAAGGAGAGUGAAACCUAGAUCUUGUGCAGCUUCUCGGAUCAUCAAUGGCUAUAGACAAGGUAUGUGUAUUUGUUAGUGAUUAAUUACGUGAUUCAUGAUCCUUAUUGUUUAUUGAUAAUAUUAAUUAUGCUUAUAGAGAGAGGUAUACACCAAAUUAAAGCACACAAAUAAUAAAGUUUUGUUUUUGCACUAUAAAUAUUUAAGGCACACUACGAAAUAAUAAAACACCAAUAUGAAUGGAGAAAUAUCUAUUUCGAGUAGCUCUUUUUGGUAUCCAAUAGUAGUAUGGAGGCGAUCCAAUCUUCUUGGAUAAACAGUAGAAGGAAGCUCAACUGCCGAAGUGUUGUCUUUUAGCUUGAGGGUUCAUUUACUGGUGAAGGAGGGUACGUAAUUUGUUCAACUGUUUCUUUCGGGUUUUUGAUUUGCAGGUUGUAUAGAGUUCAUGGUGACCAUAAGAUGUGAAGUAUUAAUGAAAAAGUAUUGCCAAAGCGGUCAGUUUUUUUUUUUUUUUUUUUUUUUAAUAUAAAUAAAUUUUAUUGAUAAGCUCAACAAAUUACACAAAAGUAGAGGACAAACGCUCUACAAACUGCGCGGCAAGUCCUUUCUGGAUAGCAAACCCGAUUCUCCUAAAUACAUAUUCGUUCGAACCUGCAGUCAUCACGUUGCUAUCUAUUAUCUUCUGCACUCUCCUGAGGAGCUCAACUGCUUCUGAGCCUAGCAAUCCAAAUGUGUCAAAUGCAAAGGGGAUGAAACUAUGUUGGUUAGCCUUACAAGCUCCGUCAUAUUUCUCCACUUUUGCCGCUGCUGCAUUGCUAGCUGCUAGCCCCACCUCAAAAAUCCCAGCACUCAACCCAACCAUCGGAGACGCCCCUGUAACAUCAACACACGCAUGUUUACUUUCAGACCAGUUGUAGACCAGAAUAUCCGCAGGACGUAAUGUCGAUCUUCCUUCCUUAGGAUCAGUAAGAAAGUUAACAGGAGCCUCCUUCUUAACCUGUACGCCAGCCCGCCAGAACACAUCACACAAGAUAUCUCUAACAUGGUCAUGCCUGUACUUGAAGCCGGGGUAAUGCUUACAAUGGGCCGCAUGGUCCCCUGAAAGCAUCAAGUCUACUCUUCUUUUAAUUUUUUUUUUUGAAAAACAAAUUUUAUUAAUAAACUCAACGAAUUACACAAAAUAGAAGACAAACGCGCUAAAAACUGCGCGUGGUGGGGUGGGGGCUAUUAUAGUAUUGUUUAAGCGGUUGAAGAGGGCAAGAAAUAAAGGACUGGCUAAUAAAAUCUAAUUCAUAACUUAUAGGAAACACUCAAUAGAAAUCCCUACUUAAGCAUGUUCAAGGGCUAGUGUAGAAUGGGAACAAUAGACGUAAAUUUUUCAGGGUGCAGAAGCUCAGAGCAAGGAAUUAUUAUAUAGCUAACUGGGUUUUGUGUUGUGCAAAUUGGGUUCAUAGUAACAUGGUAUGAACAAUAACAGCCCUACUUAUUCAGAACAAAUUUACAAUAAGGAAUCAAUAAAUAUUGUACAUAAGUAUAUUUAACAAUCUAAGGGUCUGUUUGAUAACCAGUGAAUAUUUUGGGACGAUUUACCUGUAAAUUUGGUCAACCGGGUAAAAGCAGGGUUUGGGGAAUGGUCAACCAGGUAGAAAAUAAUUUGUCGGAUUCACCUGUGUUUGUUUAACAUCUUGGAUAAAUGUUUGGUAACAGAAUUCGCCGAAUUAACCUGUGUUUAAUAGGUUUUGCAUACCUGGUGAAUCACAAAUAACUAUGGGCCAUGGACUCUUUGAUUGUGAUAUGGGUCAUUAUCCAUUCAUAUUAGGCUAUGGGCCAAAUACGAUAAAGGGUUAUUCUGGUAACAUAUGAAGCAUAACUAUGGGCCAUGGACCCUUUGAAUUUGAUAUGGGUCAUUGCAAAUGUAUAUUAUCCAUACCUCCACAAAUGUAUUAAUAAUUUGAUUUUCGAUAAUAAAAAUAUAAAUAUAGUAUUUGAUUUUUGAACAAAUGUCUUAUUUUUAUUUUUAUUAUUAUUAUUUUUAUUAUUUUAUUUUAUUUGAUAAAAGAAAUUUUAUUGAAAGUAAAGAUAUACACAAUGAAAUAAAGAUAUGACCGAGAUAUUUUAUUUAAAAGAAGUAUCCAAUAUUUUGUUUAAAUGAAUUAUCUAUAUUAUUGGCGAAAUUGGAUAAACCCCAAUUGGGCUUCAAUAAAGAAUUACAAACUUCCAUACAUAUUGUUUUAUUUUUUUCCAAAACAAUCAUUGCUCUUACAAUAUUUACCACAUUGUAAAAUAUUGUUUCUCAUACCGUUGAUAAAUAUUAUCUACAUUGUAAACAAUUUAGCGUGAUAAAAUUGAAAAAUAUCACUUGUAAACAUGGGCAAUCAUUGCUCUUACAAUAUUUAUCACAUUGUAAAAUAUCGCUUCUCAUACCGUUGAUAAAUAUUAUCUACAUUAUAAACAAUUUAGCGUGAUAAAAUUGAAAAAUAUCACUUGUAAACAUGGGCAGUCAUGAUAUGUCAUAAUAUACCUUAACAACUAUUAAUUAACAACCUGUUAUAACAAGCAACAUAAAUUUAAGUAGUGACGAAAUUGUCAAAUUAUCCAUAUUAUAUCCUGUCAUAAUAUAUCCAUAUUAACAAGCAACCUGUCAUAACCUGUUAUAAUAUAUCCAUUAUCCAUACUAGAAAAAAAAAAUCCAUCCAUACUACAGAGUCUUAGAAAUAUCCAUACACACAAACAGUUCACAGUUCAAGUAGUGAUGAAUUUGCCAAAGUCAUGAAAUCAUUUCUACCCUCACAUCUUCACUCCUCCUCCAAAAUAAUGAUCGGAUCGUACGCAGUCCUUACUACCUGUGUCUUGAUCGGUUCAUAGUCACUAUCGUCGUAGUCGAUGAUGUUGCCAUAUGCAUCGACUACAACGUUCUCAUCAGUAUUGGGCGAAGACAUUGCUGAAAGAUCACCACCGGUAGAGGAGUCCGAAUCUGAGGAGGCUGAAGAGGAGGUAGAAGGCGCAGGUGGUGCGGAAUUCUUGCGAUUGGUGGUGCGACGGACAGUGGAGGCAGUGCGUGCUGCUGAAGGACGUGCUGCUGCUGUUGAAGAGUCUGGUGCUGUUGAAGAACUGCACUGCUGUCUGCGAGCUUGUUUCCUCCUUACAAGCAUGUCGAGGGUAACACCAGAGUAUAUCCACUUACCGAGAUGUUGAAUCCUCAACACUUGGUCGCCCACGUCCAAGUGUUCCCCUUGAACGACACCUCUCCACCCUGCAGUCUUGAAAGAAAAGUGAUUAUACGGGUCCACAUUUAUCUUCAGAUCAUUGUACACCCGCAACCCAACAAGAAGCUCGACAGGUUGAUCUUGUCGGAGGCCACUGGUAAGAGCGGCCGGAAUCGACUGCAUUUAAUUAACAAACAUAGUUAUUUUCAUUGUGGCUGUCAUGUAUAAAAAGUUGUGUACACAUAAAUCAUUUAUAUUACUAAGAAAUUACAUGGAAGUGGUUUGUAUCUUGAAGUAAGGGCCUGUUUGAUAACCUGUGAAUAAAAUGGGAGGAUUUACCGGUAAAUUUGGUCAACCGGGUAAAACUAAGGUUUGGGGAAUGGUCAACCAGGUUGAAAUUAAUUUGCCGAAUUCACCUGUGUUUGUUAACAACUUGGGUAAAUGUUAGGUAACAGAAUUUGCCGAAUUAACCGGUGUUUGCUAACUUUUUGCAUACCUGGUGAAUCACAAAUAACUAUGGGUCAUGGACUCUUUGAUUGUGAUAUGGGCAUUAUCCAUCCAUAUUGGGCUCCGGCCCAAAUAUGAUAAAGGGUUAUUCUUGUAACAUAUGAAGCAUAACUAUGGUCUAUGGACUCUUUGAAUUCGAUAUGGGUCAUUACAAAUGUAUAUUAUCCACACCUCAACAAAUGUAUUAAUAUUUAAUUUUUCGAUAAUAAAAAUAUUGAACAAGUGUCUCAUUUUUAGUAUUUGAUAAUAAAGAUAGUUAAUAUAUUAUCCACUUCAACAAAUGUCUUUUUUAUUAUUAUUAUUAUUAUUAUUAUUUGAUUUUAUUUGAUAAAUUUUUUUUUAUGAAAGUAAAGAUAUAAUUUUAUGAAAUUGACUAUGUGACCAAGAUAUUGUUGUGCGCAGCGGAAACUUAUGCACAAAUACCCAAGAUUGAAAUAGUGUAUGAAUCAAACAAAAAUAAAACAAACUCACACAAACACACAAGAUUUACGUGGUUCAGCUAAUAUUGUUUACGUCCACGGACAAACAACAAUCUUCCUUAUAGAGAUGAUUAUACAAACCCUCACGAAGAAACCAAAGUGUUCUUCCUCACAAAAGUUCUCUCUCAAACUCUCUAAUGGCUUCUCACAAUCUCUCUCACAUGAAGAUUAGGUUUUCCAACCUUCUCAUUGGCUUUAUAUCAUAGCCUUACAAUCAAACACGAAAUGGGCUUAAACAGACCCAUAUUCACAAAAACAAAGAAGGACGUACGUACGUCGAAUUGACGUUCGUAGACGUACGUACGUCGAGCCACACGGGGAAGUCAUCUGUGAUACGUGACGUACGUACGCCCUAACUACGUACGUACGUUCCCUGAUCCAAAACGUUAUUUGUGAUGCUGAACGUACGAACGCCCUCCCUAACUACGUACGUACGUUCCCUGAUCCAAAACGUUAUUUGUGAUGCUGAACGUACGAACGCCCUAACUGCGUACGUACGUUCCUGAACAAAAACUUCCCUCCGUCCUAUUUUCACAGAAAAACCCAACAGAUAUAUCAUUAAAAAGAAUUGUCCAAUAUUUUGUUUAAACGAGCAAUCCAUAUUACAUUAAAAAGAAUUGUUCAAUAAACAAUUGCAAACUUCCAUACAUGUUGUUUUAUUUUUUUCUAAAACAAUCAUAGCUCUUACAAUAUUUAUCACAUUGUCUACAUUUUAAAAUAAUUUUAGCAUGAUAAAAUUGAAAAAUAUCCCUUGUAAACAUGGGCAGCCAUAAUACACCUCUUAAACAAAAUAAAAUAUACCUUAACAUGGGCAAUCAUAAUAUGUCAUAAUAUACCUUAACAAGUAUCAAACGUAAUAACUGUUAUAACAAUCAACAUAAAUUUCAGUAGUGACGAAAUUAUCAUAAUAUAUCCAUAUUAAUAAACAACCUGUCAUAACCUGUUAUAAUAUAUCAUAUUAUCCAUACUUGAAAAAAAAAUCCACCUAGACUAUAGAAUCCUAAAAAUAUCAAUACACACAAACAGUUUCAAGUUCAAGUAGUGACCAAAUUGUCAAAGUCAUGAAACGACUUUCUACCCUCACAUCUUCAGUCCGAAUCCGAAAUAAUGAUUGGAUCGGAUGCAGUCCUUGCUACAUGUGUCUCAACCGGCUCAUAGUCAUUGUCGUCAUAGUCAAUAAAGUUGCCAUUCACAUCCAUAAAGACGUUCUCAUCGGUAUUGGCCGAUGCCUGAGCUGAGAGACCACCACCGGUAGAGGAGUCCGAAUCUGAAGAGUCUGAAUCUGAGGAGGCUGGAGGUGCAGGUGGUGCUGAAUUCUUCCGAUUGGUGGUGCGACGGACUGCUGAUGAGGGACCUGCUGCUGCUGCUGCUGAAGACCUGGGUGCUGCUGAUGAAGUGCGCUGCUGCCUGGAAGCUUGUUUCCUCCUCACAAGCAUGUCAAAGGUAACACCAGAGUGUCUCCCCUUACCGAGAUGUUGAAUCCUCAGCAACACCCGGUCGCCCACGUCCAAAUGCUCCCCUUGAACUACAGCUCUUCAUCCUGCAGUCUUCAAAGCAAAGUGACCAUACCCGUCCACAUUUAUCUCCAAGUCGUUGUACCGCCACAACCCAACAACCAACACGACCGGUUGGUCUUGUCGAAGGCCACUGGUGAGAACUGUCGGAAUCGGCUGCUUGUAAUUAACAAACAUAGUAUUUUUCAUUGUCGACAACGUGUUGCGUUACAUGAACAUAAAUACCAUUAUUACAAACAAAUACUGUGAAGUCUAUCAAAACAUGUCGUCUAGAAUGAAUUUUUUGUUAUACAUACUGUAUGGUCCAUUAAAACAAGAAUAAUCCAUCAAACGUAGAAUACUGUAUGGCCAUCACAACAAUGACUUUAAUAUGUGGGCCAUGAUAAUAAUGCAAAAGCACAACAUGUGGUCCCAUGUCAUAUAUUAAAAAAAUAAUGGUAAAGUACUUACCAUCCUCCAAGAACCCUUCCCGUUUUUACCAACGUUCCAUGGUUUUAAAACAUAGUAGUCAUUGGUGUUGCUUGGGCCACCUUGUUCCAUUGUCUACAUUAUAAAUUAAAAGAAUGUUAUGUGUUGUGAAAUGCUAUUAUAACAAAGGUGAAAUAGAUAUACAAUUAUUAAAUGAAAAGUGGGACAUUACAUACAUAGAAAUAAAGUUGGUGUGUUGUGUGGUUGGGGGUGGGGGUUGUCAUUGUCUUAUUUUUAAUUAAAAAGGGGGUCAUUACAUGCAUGUGGUGUAUCGGCAACUGGGAUGUUUGUCGCAAACUGGGAUUCCAUUCCGUCAACGCCACCAUCCCCUUCCCCGAGGGUCUCAUCCUCAUCUUCGUUCACUGCAUUGGAUUGAUCAUUCACAUCACAAACUCAUACAUGCCACAAUAACCAUGUUGUGUAACAAACAAUAAACCCACGUACCGGUUGGUUCGUAAGUGGGACUAUCAAGAUCAUGGGCAGUAUAUCCGGGUAAAUCGAGGCACGUGCUGUUUUUCGGUAAAUUUCAUCCCGCGCAAAUUCCUUUUAUCAAACACCGACAAACAACGGUCAAACCGAGCAAAUCUAAUUCAUCCGGGUGAAAACCCGGAUUCACCGGUUAUCAAACAGACCCUAAUUGGAUCUUGGAUGAGUGGAUCUGUGGAUGAAGAGGUAGGAUUCCUUCAGCUACGAGGCUAAAAAGGCUGAUUAUCUCUUAAAUAUUCAUACUGAUUUUUUAUACAUACAGUAUUGUGAUUAAGUAAAACUUAGGCUGUGUUUGAUAACAAAUUCCCGCUUUGCAAGUUUAUUUAGCAAACCGGGCAAAUAAGCGGCAAAUUUCAAGUUUGCCGGUUCCUGGCAAAUGGUUUAUCCGUAAAAUUAUUUUGCCAUCGUUUGAUAACAAUUUUGUAAAAAGAAGAUAAAUCGGAGUUUGCCAGUUACAUUGGUUUUGAUAAAACUUUCGAUUUUGGCGUAUGUACAUGUAUUAAAAAAACACCCAAAUUAAUGAAACUAAACAAAAAAACUAUAUCAAGCAUGGACAUACGUAAUAGAUAGAUAAUUAUAUACAUUGGUAUAAACAUAUUUAUAGGCUUCUACAAAGUUUGCAUAAUUAUAAAAGUGUUUGAAACUAUUUUGCAAAAAAAAAAAAAAAAGUAUUUGAAACUGUUAUCACCACGGCCCAUAAGUCAGACUAGACAAAAAAAAAACACAGUCAACCUUCCUGCUGAACACCCAACUAGACAACAUAUGGUGAAGCUAGAGUACCACAACCUUCCUCUGGUUCUGGUUCUUCCUCUGGUUCUGGUUCGGCCUGGUCUCUAGCUGGACCUGAUUGGGCUCUCUGAAACCCAUCAAGCCAAGUCCUUGUAGCCGGUGCCGGUAUACGCCCAUAGAAAAGCUUAGGGCAUCACCCAUCGCAGUGCACAAUCUGAAUUCUCAUCCUCCCCAAUUCGUGCGUGCGACAAAAACCCCUACACUCGAACAUGAUAGUGUCUCCUUCCUUGAGAUUCACUGCAUCAAUGAAACGUUUCCACCCAUUGUAGCGAAAGCAUAGGUGAAAAAAUCGAAUUUGCCGUCCGGAUAUUCAUGAAAUAUUCCAUUUUUUGGCUAUUCAGAUCAGUACGGCAUACGACAUAUAAACGAAAUUUAAAACACCUCAUGUCGUUCGGAAUUUAUCGGAUAUUCGCGAAAUAUUCGGCAAAAACCGAAAUUUACAAAAUUUACGAUAUUUUCGAUUAUGAAAUUAACACAUUUAUUUUUUAUUCCCCCCGAACUAGAAUUUUCGAUGAGAUUAUCAAAAAAAGGUCCAAACAGCACUAGACGUUUGGAAACUUUCGCGACGAACUUCAUCACCAAUAUUCGUGGUAAUGGUAGUGACCUGUUCAGAAGUAAAUCAGUUCUACGUUCACGUUCACCUUCCGAUGAUGAUGAUGGAGAUGGUGACCAAAACAUAGAUGUUGGUCAUCAAAGGGGAGGAUCAGAAGCCAGUGAUUCACUAAGAGAGCGCACCCCAGAAGCGAUUCAUUUUACGGGGGAGUCUCAAUUUCUUUUUGCCACCCAAGAUGAAGACCAUGCUGCAUGGCAACAACCAAGAGAAGGAAAACGACCUCGACAGAAAAGACUGCAUCCUAAAACGGAAACAGAAUCAUCUAGAGUAUCUUCCAAGGUUCAUGGAACAUUCCUGACCAGUUUUUUUCACAAGGUUCGUAGAACCUCCCUUAUUCUCAAAGCAACAUCCAACCUACCUAUGUUUACCCUCAUUUUUCUUAUGGUAACAUGGGAACCUCCCAAAGUGAUGAUUCUAGUGUACCAUCCUACCAAACCCAACCAGAUUCCAGUGGUUCUUGGUUUCCUAAUAUAGGGAGUUGGUUGGCCCCAAUGACAAGUGGGUCGGACGUGCAGUCAGCCGAUACAUUAAUGCCGGUUCAACAAUACUCGAGAUUUCUUAUCUUUGAAUCAUUUGCUUCGUAUUGUAUGGAUCAAGAUGCAUAUGAUAUGCAUAUUGACCAAUUCAGAUCGUACGAGCAAACAAUGUCAUGGGAAUAUUACUGUACUGAGUUCGUCCCCACACGUAUGCGACUCGAAGCUCAUCGAUUUAACAUGGGACGUCUAUCAUUCUGGGGUUAGCAUGUCUUUUAUUUUGAUUAUUAAAAUAAAACUAUGGGUUGAGUUGUAAUGAGGUUAUUUGUGUUUAGUUCUUGUAUUAGAAACAUAUAAAAGUUCUAUGAAUAUCCGCCCGAUAUUUACGAUUUUUUCACCUAUGAGUAAAAUUAUCUUGUGUAAUAGUUCCGCCUUAGCUUCCUUGUAUGAUUUGUCGUGUGUUUAAUUUGUAAUGUAUAUUUUUCUUUUAAUUAUAAGUUUAUAUAUUGAAACAGAAGAAAAACACGAAAAGUGCAGAAAACCUCAAAAUUUUUCGAUUUUUUCGCGAAUAUUCGCGAAUAUCCGCGAAAAAUUCCGGUACAUUUGAAUUUAUUAAAACUCCCACAUCCGACAUGGGAGGUCGGAUAUUCGCGGAAUAUAUCGUUUUUUGGGAGGUCGGAUAUCCGCGUUUAAACGACAUUUUCACCUAUGAGCGAAAGUACAAUGAAGCAUGGCGAUCAUGGCUAACAUCAACCCUAAAACUUUGUUCACUGGGCAAAAUAAACACGACGUGCUUGCAUUGUUUGAACAAAUACUUGUUCGCAGCCGGAAUUUUUUGCCAUAUAUAUCAAACAGUUUUGUCAAACAAUUAUUCCAUAUAUAUCAAACAAUUCUGUCAAACAAUCAUUCCAUAUAUAUCAACCAGUUCUGUCAUAUAUCAACAGUAUAUAUAUGAAACAGUUUUGUCAAGCAAUUCUGUCAAACAGUUCUGUCAGAUAUAUCAACAGUAUAUAUAUCCACAUCUGGACCAUUAGAAACUACUACCAGUGUCGACCUCAAUCUAAUAAUUGGAAUCUUAUGUAACAUAUAUAGUACUGAAGUGUCAUUGUUUUGUAUGUGCAUAGAGGCAAUACAAUGCAUCUGUCAUCUUUACUCAACAAUAAUUCAUGUAACAGCCUAUAUAUAUGUGCACAUUUCUUGCCAUAUAUAUUAACAUUACUAGCCAUUACUGUGAGGCCCAACUAACAAUCCAAAGCCCAUUCAGCUGGUGUAAGCAAUUCAGCUGGUGUUUCACACCUAUUUUUGUGAUGUUGAUUAUCAAGCUUGCAUUACCUUUUCAACUUUUCCUUUAGAUUUAUUCAAGUUCUGUAGUAGUUUUGUUUUCUUUUUGUCAAAACUAAACAACUAUAAACCAAAGAUAAAUAAAAUAAAAUGGAAUAUCAACGUUUUGUUUAUGUUGUUAUGGACUUCUUCCCUCGCACAACGUGGUGACUGGCGAGUAUUUGUUCUCUAUAACAUUUUCUUUGGCCUAAAUUAAAUACUGGUUCAAUUGAGUAAAUUCAAACAUGAAUGGUUCUAGUACUUAAUUUAGCAUGUACAGAGGAUUCUAUUAACUCAGAAUUGUAAAUUUCCAUUAAAAUAUGUUGUAAUUGAUUAGAAAUUGAUCAUUGAAAUAAAAAGAAAAUGGUAACAAAUUGAGGUUAACUUAAACAAAAUCCCAUUAACUGAAAUUAGGGACUUGUUUCUAACUCAAUUGAGCACAACUGGGUUACUUGUUCGACUGUCACCUACUAAAAUCAAUCAAAUUAACCAUACACAAUUGUUUAAAAGAAAUCCUAAAUACAAAACAGUAAACCCAACACAGAAAACAUACCAAUCUGGUAAAUCACUGAUUCUGUAGAUCUGUUUAAGAUUACUAGCAUUGUUCUGAACUUGGGUAGGUAAUUUAGUAGGAGCUACAAUGUCAUCCCUUUUUCAGAGUCAGUUGGAAUAUCUAUGAUUAUGGUAUUAGACUUUUCCAUAAUUGUUACUUAGCUAUACAAACAGAGAAAAACAGAGAAUUUUUUUUUUAUAUAUAUAAUUCAAGAAAAUCAAGCAUUAAUAAUUUAAUAAUUUACUAGAAUAGUUAAAAAAUUAAAAUGGAGAAAAAGGAUAUCUUACCGAUAAUAAAAAUCUGGUAAAUCACUGAUUCUGUAGAUCUGUUUGAUGAUCACCUCUUUAGAUUUCUUCAUUUUCUUUUUCAAUGGAAUAAAAAGGAUAAUUGUAGUAAUUGUUUCUUCUUCCAUUUGUUUCUCUGUAAAUCAGGG